AUAGUACUCCCUCCAUCCCAAAAUUCUUGUCUUAGAUUUAUCUAGAUACGGAUGUACCUAAUAUUAAAACAUGACUUGAUACAUCCAUAUUUAGACAAAUCUAAGACAAGAAUUUUGGGACGGAGGGAGUAUGAA
rnacentral:pre_miRNA from 1 species